GUACGGGCUAUGGGGACAUCAAAGUCAGUGGAAUUUAAUUCCAACGCAAUGCAUCAUUUCAGAUGAUGGGUAAAUAAGUACAUUACAGUGACCCAGACUAUUCCAUAAUUGAGGUACGUUUUGCCUCGCGGUCCAUCUGGUCUGUCAUAUGGUCGAUGUUUACAUCAGGUGCUGUUGGAGCUGCCGGUGAGUGUCUCGUAAACAGACCACCCACAAAGAGAAAUACAUCAUUGUUAUACUCCUGGACUACGAACUAUAUCAAAACAUCUGUCAAGACGCAGCUUUACCUUGGAUACUUUACAUUCUUCCUGCAAGGUGAUAUUGGGAACUUUCACUGACAGUUUGGACCUCAAGUUGUACGGGUUAUUUGAGGCUUCUGGCCUAGGUUUAGCCGCCUAAAACGGAUUACAGAUGUAUUUGUUUUCAAAACAUAGAAUACGACGUAUCUGCCAUUAUCAAUAAUAACGUUUAAAUGGAAACCAUUCUUAUUAAACGGAGACCUUUGCCUACUUACCCGCCUUAUUCGAGGAACCAUUGUGAUCAAUAGCAGCGCAAAAUAGCAGAGAUAUGUUUCAGCUCGACAUUUAUUAAAGUCCAGUGAAAGUGGCUGCCAUGACAUGUAUCAACUCGAAGCAACGGCAACAGCUGUGAUCAAUGACAUUGCGAGUGGGAUUUGCUGCUCUCUAAUUAGUACCUUUUCAAUGUAUUUCGUCAGUUAAGCUAUACCAUCCGAAUGUAGGAUAUAUCGGAGAAACCCCCAAAAAUAUACUGUCUUGAGGUUUCAACCAACCACAGUUCAUGUGAAUUACUCAUAAAUUCUCUUUAAUACUUGAAACGUCUUAGGAACGAGUUUUUAUUUACAUGGUUUAAAACAAAGAUCAAAAUGAAAAUCAAUGGUUUUGCAGAAUUUGAUUUAUUCCAGACAGCCAUACCGACACAGCUUUUGCAAUGUUUUCUCAGACUCCUCUGUAAAACCCCAGUGUUCACACAGAUGUAAAGAUCCUCCAUUCUAGACCAUGGGACAAUAGAACAACAGUCUAGACCACUGAAGAACAGAACAACAGGUUAGAUCACUGGAGAACAGAACAACAGUCUAGACCACUGAAGAACAGAACAACAGGUUAGAUCACUGGAGAACAGAACAACAGUCUAGACCACUGAAGAACAGAACAACAGUCUAGACCACUGAAGAACAGAAC
ensembl:lncRNA